AAAGAUACAAGAGUUGAAAUUAAGAAAUUCAUUUUGACAUCCAAACCCUCAACUCUAAAAUGAAAGCAACUACAAACAAGAUAGCAAGAACAAUCCCAUAGCCAGCAUUCCAAGAACUUCCCUCCUCACCUAGAUGAAUUCCAUAGAACACAUUUGCUAUUGCAAAUACCAUCAAUAUCCUCCCCACGCUAUAAUGAUACCAAUUCCAAUACUUUCGCACUUUCAAUGCCUUGUCUGGUCUUGCCAAAAAUGCCAUCAUCUGGAGGGAUCCAAGAACAAGAAUGAAGAUGCCAAGGCCUUUAUGGGUAGAGACAUCAGCAUUGAGACGAUCUUCCAGGACAAACCCACAAAUGACUCCUGCUAAGCCCAGUAGAAAUCCCAAAGAUUGAAUGGCAGUAUGAAGAUAGAACCAAAUAGGAUCCCAUUGCUUGCAGUAGCGAGCAACUAUUGCUCCUAUUAUCAUCAUAAUUCCCCAUCCAAGCAUAUUCAGUAUCCCAUGGCUCUUUCUUAGUCCACUUUGAGGGUUAUUGUUGCUAGUCGCACCUGUCACGUAAUUCAAAGCCGUAGACACCUUAUCUUGGUGCUCCAUCAACUGGUAGCCUGGUGCCGACGGGAAUCUACCGACCGGUCCAAGGGAAUAAAUCAACCGGGAAGACGGCUGAUCGAUGCUCAACUGGAAGGCUAAGUACAAACGUGACGAUUGAGAUGUGAUCAUGGAAUAUGUAAUAUUUAGGUUGCCUGAGUCAGGUACUACUUGAGUCGGAGUUUGCCCUCCUAAGUAGUACUGUUUUAUCAUCGCUGAACCAUCCGUCGACGAUACCCAACCCACGAUUGCGCUCGAUCCCACCAUUAAACCGCUGCUUGAGAAUCCUAUUCCGACGUAAGAACUUGCGUCUGGUGCUGAGAGGACAAAGCUCCAUAGAUUCUGAGAUGUUUGCACAAAUCGAAGGAUGUAGUUGUGAGCAUUCCAUACAGAAGCGCAGUGGAGAGAUGCAAUAUCAAAGGGAAGCUGUCUAUUGAGGUUCAGAUUUGAGCUGCAAGAAUCGGUUUGUGAGUUUACCAAGAUUGAUAAAGAAGAUAAGGUGGUGAAGAAGAUGACCAUGGAAAUGGAAGAAGCCUUCAUAUCUUUGUGUGUGUAUUCCAAUUCUUUGAUCUCUUGGAUAUUAGUUGGGGUUGGUGAAGUGGGAUCUUAAUUAAAGGGGAAAGUAGUGGUUGAUCAUCCGCAAAG
rnacentral:misc_RNA from 1 species